rnacentral:rRNA from 1 species
GCGUCAGUCCAUGAUGCUGAAAGCAACCCG